rnacentral:lncRNA from 1 species
AUCUAUUUAGAGUUCGGGGUCUUUUGAGAGAUUUUCUUUGUACUCUGCCUUUUCGACAUUAAUAAAUUAUUUGCUCCGUCUUCGCCCGUGGACGUAGGUCGUUGGCCGAACCACGUAAAUAUCAGUGUGCUCUUUCCUCUUAUCUUUUCGUUUCUUGCAUUAAGUUAAUUUUUUCUGGAUCUAUUUUUCGUCGUUCCGAUUUUAACAUAUUCCUAUUGACCAAAUGGUCCCU